GUGCCAGCAGCCGCGGUAAUACAGAGGGUGCAAGCGUUAAUCGGAAUUACUGGGCGUAAAGCGUGUGUAGGUGGUUUGCUAAGUCAGGUGUGAAAUCCCUGGGCUCAACCUAGGAAUUGCAUUUGAUACUGGCAGGCUCGAGUGUGGUAGAGGAUAGUGGAAUUCCCGGUGUAGCGGUGAAAUGCGUAGAUAUCGGGAGGAACAUCAGUGGCGAAGGCGGCUAUCUGGACUAACACUGACACUGAGACACGAAAGCGUGGGGAGCAAACAGGAUUAGAAACCCGCGUAGUCC
rnacentral:rRNA from 1 species